UGAGGUUUAAAAAGUAGCAUGUUUGUAUGUUAUUUUUCUUGGUGUAUGGUUGGUGUAGCAUGGAGAUUGUGGUUUUAAAAUUGAGUAUUAUAUGUGGUUGAAUGCUUAUGAGAAAAAUGGUGAAAUGUGAUAUUGUUGUUGUAGAUUAGGAAACGUUAAUGAUGAGGUAUAGUUUAUUAUGGAUGUGGUUUUAUGUAUGUGAGUUAUGAGGAAG
rnacentral:lncRNA from 1 species